UGGAGGAGGAGGAGAGGUGGAAAGUGUCUUGGGGCGACGGGGAGGACGGCGAGGUGGCCGUGGAUGCGUUCGGCACCGUCGUCGUCUGCAAUGGGCACUAACCCGUGCCCAAGCUCCCAGGUGAGAGGCGCAAUGCCUAGUUUCUCCCCCCUUCCUUCCUUCCGGAUCUUCUCAACUCAGAUCAGGGAAACAAAAUUAUGAGCUGCUGUCAGAAGAGUUAUUAAUUUUGAUUUCGCGACUUAAGAACUGAGAAGAUGCACAGCCACAGAUACGCAUUCCAGAGGCAGAUGGCCUCAGGUGUUGCUAAUUUGGAUUGACCCCUGAUGUUGAGGUGAUAACUUAUUCCUUCUUUUGGAGUUUGUUCCUUAGUACCGGAUAUGCAAUAUUAGGAAUUGAAGUGCUGAAUUGGCUUUUGUUCAUGUUGCAACAGUGGUUGAUGUACAUGUUGACUAUGCAUUGAUCCUGAUUCAUGAUGGGAUGCUCCUCACUCCUCAGCCAUGCUACAGGAUGCGCGUCACGGGAUUCCGCCUUAUAUGCAAUGCACAUAUUUUAGUGAGAAAAUUACUAGCCAUGAUAAAUACUACCCAAUUGCUAUCUAUCAUGAUGUUGUUUGACCACUGUUCAACUGCCAUAAUUUUUACACCUAAUGACCAGAUUAUUUUAUCUUAGUUGUCAUGUUGUAUAUAGUCGGUUGCCAUGAUGUUUAACAAUCAUUCAAUUGCCAUAUUUUUUACACGUAGUGACCAGAUUAGUUGAUCCUACUUGCCACAUUGUUUUACAAGAGCUCAACUGCCAUAUUUUACCUCUAAUGACCAUAUUAUUUGAUUCUACUUGUCAUGUUAUUUUCACCGUUCAAUUGCCAUAUUUCUUUAUCCCCAAUGACCAAAUUAUUUCAUCAUAGUGGCCAUAUUGUUUACCACCGCUCAAUUGCCACAUUUCCUACCCUUAGUGACCAAAUUAUUUGAUCCUAGUUGCCAUGUUAUUUUAUCACCGCUCAAUUGCCAUAUUUUUUAUUCCUGGUGACCAGAUUAUUUGAUCCUAAUUGAGAUAUUAUUUUACCAUCGCUGCGAUUGCCAUAUUUUUAGUCUAGUGACCAGAUUAUUUGAUCAUAAUUGUCAUAUUUUCUUUAGCAUCGCCCAAUUGCCAUAUUGUGUACACCUAGUGACCAGAUUAUAUGAUUCUAAUCGCCAUGUUCUUUUAUCACCACUCAAUUGUCAUAUUUUUUUUACGUCUAUUGACCAUAUUAUUUGAUGUUAAUUGCCAUGUUAUUUUACCACCGCUCAAUUGCCAUAUUUUUUAUCCUUAAUGACCAGAUUAGUUGAUCCUAGUUGCCAUGUUAUUUUACCGUUGCUCAAUUGCCAUAAUUUUUGUCCCUAACGACCACAUUAUUGAUCUCAGUUGCCAUGUUGUUUUCCCACUGCUGAAUUCCACACUCAGCUUUGUGACAGUUUCAAGAAUGUCCGUUAAAUUAUAUGGUGACGACAUUAAGAGACAUUGGACUGAUCAAUAUAAUGGGUUGUCAAUGGAGAUAGGAUUGUGGUAGUGGCAGUGCAAUGACGGCAAGAUGUGAAUGUGUAUUUGUAUAGAUUGUAAAUUAUGACUUGGUCCUGAUUUGGUGGUGUUAUGUUAUGAUUUUGUUGUAAAUUUUGUCAUGCGUGUAAUGUAGUUGUAUGUACUACUUUUAGGGUUGAAGUGCUGGUCGGAGCGAUGUGUGAAAAUGAUUUAAUCAGUAUCUAGACCUGUUGUCGGAUGCAUUAGUCACUAUGUAUGGAAGAGCGAUUUAAUAUGUAUGGGUCAAGCUCUAUUUGUCGAAAGAAUUAAGCUAAUUGAAAACAAUAAAGCCAAUCCAUCCCCAGCGUGAGAGCGCGCGGUACGGCAGCUGGCAGGAGGCGUAAAGCCAAUCCAUUCCUCUAGGUCCUCUUCUUGGAAGAAGCUCGUCUGCUGCUGCAGGUGGUGGUGGUGGUCGUCGUCCUUGAGGAAGAGGCCAAGAGGGCGCAAGAAGCUGCGCGAGCCGACCAUGUACUGAUCUUGAGGCCGAGCAAGGCCGAAGAACUCCAGGUCGAUUU
rnacentral:lncRNA from 1 species